rnacentral:sRNA from 1 species
AAAUGUUAUAAUUUUCUACAGAGAGAAGUUCGCUAGUUUUCUAGCACUAAAGAUCGGUGGCUACUUUAUUUUCAGGAGGUGGUGCUUAUGUUUGCAUUUUACCUAUUCUAUGAAAGGAGUAGCUUAUGUCUGCUUUUGAAAUUAUCCAGACGAUUUUUGCUUUUGGUAUGUUCACCAUCGCUCUAAU